CCUACUGCGUCUAACGCAUCACGUGAUGUGGUGGACGCGUUUGUCAUCGUGACUCGCGCUUACCUGUACAUCUUUGACUGUCAUUACAAACAUUACUUCAGCGCUGGAACACAAAGCAGUUAAUGCUCUCUCCCGUCAGUCUUCCAUCAGUGCGAGUUCUCUGGAUAAACCGGGAGAAACAGUUUCAUCAGGUAUGUUCUGAUCGCAUUACAUUUGCUACAUUAGAUGAGUAGAUGAGUCAAAGAAC